rnacentral:rRNA from 1 species
CGUACAAGUAAUAUACUGGAAGUAUAUUUAGAAUUA